rnacentral:tRNA from 1 species
GGGGAUUUAGCUCAGUGGUAGAGCGCUUGCCUAGGAAGCGCAAGGCCCGUUCAGUCCCCA